AUGGCAUCGCCGCUGAACCGGUCGCCGGUGGAUCCAUGGUGCGCGCGCGGUCCCGUCGUGGGCGAACAGAGGUCGGCGUCACGCCGGAAUCAAAUCUCUGGGUGGGCAGACAGUACGUACGGUGCGCUACCCGACGUCGUGCUCGGUGCCCCCCCGUCGAUGGACCACUCCACUGUCUCCUACCGCCGGUCUACCAUACACUACUGUCUACGCGAUGACGGUGAAAACCGCGGGAAUAACAGCGACGAGUCGACGUCCACGUCGUCGUUCCAGCUCGCAUGUUCCAAUUCCAACCGAGCGCCAGCCAGCCGUGCGUGCGUGCGUUCACGCGGUUAG
rnacentral:rRNA from 1 species